rnacentral:lncRNA from 1 species
CUCAAAUUUUGUUUACACCAAUUGUACCUCACCAAGAACAUCAGCAAAAAUUCACGGAAAAGUUGUUCUGAAACAUUCCAUUGUCUGUUGCCGAUUCUGAGGGGAUAAGAGCUAGUCCAGUUCUUACAUCACAAUAUAUUCAUGUCAUGAAAGUGUUUCCUCUGGAUAGUUUAUAAGAUACAGAACUCACCAUCUCAGAUCCUGAGACAUUUCAUGGCUACUACCUGAAGUUACAAAGCAAUUUGCCACCACAUAGGCUGUAAGAGAAACAAACUGUCAUUCGAAACUCCUUGUAAUUCCUUUUGAAUCUCAUCAGGCUCUGGUGCAUGGUUUAGCCCAGAAGAAAAGCUGUUCCUGAAUGAAAAUGCUAGAAUCUUCCGACAGCCUAUAUGGGAAUGCUGUGGAUAAACAGAGGAUCCCUUUAUCACACGUAGCUUGUGAGCUGUGUCCUGCUUAAACCAUAACUGUCUACAAAUAAUACUCUUCAACUGAAAGUAGAUAUGCUCCCUUAUCUGCUAGAAAUACUCUUGUUCAGUAUAAUAAGAAGAGGCACCAUUCCCUACAGAGUCAUGCUUGGCUCCUCAGGUCAGGCCAUGCCUACUUACAUGUGCCAUUAUGUUACACUACAUUUACUUAAACAUAAGAUGAGAGAAUUGGGACAUCUCAUUGUUACAAGAAGGUCACAGUGUGCACUUACAGCACUUGAGUCAUGUGGAAUAUACAAAGAUGAGCAUCCAUAAAUACCAAACCAUAACACAAAUGCUUCAAUGGAGGUGUGCACGGAGGGUAGGAGCCCAGAGAGAAGUACAUACCAUGGCUCUGAAGGAAAUGUCUG